rnacentral:lncRNA from 1 species
GGCGUACUGGGGCGGUUCAGUCGCCUCAGCCGCGGUGUGAGGGAGCGGGAGUCUUCCUUAGCUUCUCCGCCAUGGGUGUCGCUUCGUAGCCGGGCUGCUCCGGGAAAGGCCUCGUACAGACAAGUGACAGAGUCUCUGUUGCUUAGGCUGGAGUGAAGUGGCAUGAUCAUAGCUCACUGCAGCCAUAAACUCCUGGGCACAAGUGAUACUCCCACCUCAACUUACCAAGUAGGUAGAACUAAAGGUGAGCAUGAUCACACUUGGUCAAUUUUUAUUUUUUGUAGAGAUAGGGUUUCUCUAUGUUGCCCAGGCUGGCAUUGAACUCCUGGCCUUAAGUGAUGCUCCCACUUUGGCUUCCCAAAGUUAUAGGAUUAUUGGCAUGAGCUACUGUGCACAGGCAAAUUUACUUUCUUUAUAAAUUACCUAGUUUGUGAUAUUCCAUUAUAGUAACACAAAAUGAACUAAGGCAAAGGACUAUAGUCAGAAUUACCUAAAACCAUGUUGGGAAAGCAUUAAGCAGGACAUAUGGUCUAAUUUGCCAUAGGUUCUCAAUUCAUGAUUUUUUUCUCCUUUUGAUUCCAAGCCCAAUUGUUUUUUUUCCUACAGCAUAGGGUGAACCCCCAACAUCGGAGGCAGGUCUCAGUUAAUUUAGAAAGUUUAUUUUGCCAAGGUUGAGGAUGGGCAACCAUGACACAGCCUCAGGAGGUUCUGAGAACUUCUGCCCAAGGUGGUCAGGGCACAGCUUGGUUUUAUACAUUUUAGGGAGACAUGAGACAUCAAUCAAUAUGUGUAAGAUGUACAUUGGGCCAAUCCAGAAAGGUGGGACAGCUCCAGGUGAAGGCAGGACAGCUGGAAGCCUGGAGGGGACUUCCAGGUCAUAGGUAGGUAAGAGAAAAAUGGUUGCAUUCUUUUGAGUUUCUGAUGAGCCUCUCCAAAUGAGGCAAUCAGAUAUGCAUUUAUCUCAGUGAGCAGAGUGGUGACUUUGAAUAGAAUGGAAGGCAAGUUUGCCCUAAGCAGUUCCCAGCUUAACUCUUCCCUUUAGCUUAGUGAUUUUGGGGCCCCAAGAUUUAUUUUCCUUUCACAAUACUAUAAAACAUGUUAAUGCACUUCUAUUAGUUAGGUUCCUUUUGAUUGCAAGCAACAACUACCCAAUUCAAUAUAGCUUAUGAAAAAGAAAAUAUAUUUUAAGGAUACAAGGGUAUCUUGGAGCAUCUCUGAGAAUUCAAGAUUUCAGGAAUGAUCUGAGGACAGGGAAGGGAGUUUCU